CACAGAAAGACCUGACUGGGAGCAGACCUGCUCUGGUUUUCUAAAUCAUUCUGACUGAUCACAUGUGAACCCUGAAGUGAAGAACUUCUGUUGAGUCUCUUGAUGUCUGAAUCUCCUGCAGACUAACUGACAUGAAGGUGUCUUUUUGCAGCCAUGGGCUCCACCAACAAGAUCAUCCAGGAACAGAGUGGAGUUGUUGCAGAGGGAACAGGCAUCAGCUUGAGCUGUGAGUACGACGGUUCUAUCUACAGUAUCCAGUGGUACAGACACCAGCAGAAAUCCAGACCAGAGUUCCUGCUCUACAUCACAGAGGGAGGAUCCAUUCAUCCAAUUCGGUCUGAUUUCUCAGCUCGUAUAAACAAAACACAGAAACGUGUGGACCUGCUGAUCUCCUCUGCUGCAGCGACAGACUCUGCUGUGUACUACUGUGCUCUGCAGCCCACAGUGACAGGAAACAGUAAAAGUGUGUAGAAAACCUGCAGAGCGAAGACAACACAAUACUCCACAACAUCCACUAGAGGGACUCACACACUGCGAACCCACUGGUUGUUGAGACGGUGGACUGAUGACAAAGUCAACAGACACAUGAAGCAGCAGACAUCAGAGACACAGCUGCUGCAGAAGCACAAAAGCAUCUGAUUGGUUGAGUUCAAGUCCAAACAUUAUAUCAGGAGUUGAUUUGCCCCGCCCACUAAAGUUCAGCUCUAUGACAUCAUGUGUUCCUCCUUCUACUGCAGAGGAAGAACAUUAUUGGUCUGCUGUGUGUCUGGCUGGAACAGUUCCAAAAAUGCUUCUUUCCCUCUUUUUGCUUCUGUCUCACAUUCUAGGUGAGUUUUAGAACAGAGGAACCCUGGACAGGAGACACUGUCCACUGUCUUCUCCU